GGGUGCGAUCAUACUAGUGUUAAUGCACCGGAUCCCAUCGGAACUCCACAGUUAAGCGUGCUUUGGCUAGAGUAGUACUAGGAUGGGUGACCUCCCAAGAAGUCCUAGUGUUGCACCCU
rnacentral:rRNA from 1 species